rnacentral:misc_RNA from 1 species
AUGGUAUUUUGGUCUGCGCUAGCGCAGAAUGCGGUAGUCGCGGAAGCGAUGACUGUCAACGCGGAAAUCGGCAACCUUAUAUUCGCCAUAUUGUUUGCACGCACGUUGCGCUAGCGAAAUCCGGUCGGAGUGGUGUUUCGCAAGUGUGAUACGCGCGCGUGGUGGUGAACCACACGGAACGAAAGAGAGAACGAAACGAAGUGUCGAAAGCAAGGAAAAGUCUCUCUCUCUCUGUAGGGAAGACAGAGAAAGUGGGAGAGAGAAAAAUAGAGAGAGAUAUUGAGGGACUGGUGGUGGCCCAGGUGCAAUGUCAUAUCACCGUGGGGGCCAGGCGGGCGCCGUAGCAGUCUCGUACAGCACCAGCCCAAUGACACCGCAUUCUCCUAGCAGGCGAUGUUCCAGCGGUAGCAGUGGCACCAGCAGCACCGCGAUCGGCGGCACCUCCACGUCCAAAUUGAACAGCUACCGACCAACCGGUUCAUUCUACACCACGUCGACCAGUUCAGGAUAUCGUUCGAGCUGCACGCCCGAGUACAGACGAUCUUACUGUCCGUCAAGCAGUUACUACUCGUUAACAUCAACCAGUUCGAGCCUCCGCAGGAACUACGUGUCGGACUAUGGACGGUCUCGCUGCUCACCCGCAAGGUCAGUUUCAUCGUCAUCGUACGGGAAUACGGGCACAAGCGGCGGCGGCGGUGGCGGCGGUGGUUCGAAUGUGACGACCAACGGAACAAGCAGCAGUAGAUACGGUGGACUGUCGACGUCGUCGUCGUCGUCGAGCAUCUCCAUCACCGGUUCGUCGAGGGACAGGGGCCAGGACACGUCUUCCAGAAACAACGAAUCGUCGCCCACGACAGCGGAGCUGAUCAGCAGGUACUCGCCGUCCGGCUACGUGCCCAACAUCCGGCAGACAAGCGGCACCAGCAACACGACAACAACAACAGCAGGAUCCCAUCAUCAUCAUUGGAAACAUCAUUCGAUCGGUUCGUCGUUGACCGAGCUGUACGGCGGUGACGAGCGCGAGGUAGCCGGGACCAGAGAUCGUCCCGAGUCUUCUCUCUCCUCGUCCUCAUCAUCGUCGUCCGCCACCGCUGUUGGCGGUGCACUCUGGUCCAGAUCAAAGAGGGGACCAUUGUCCAGCAGCACGGUGCUCACCAGCGGGCAUGCUCGCGCGGAUACCGCCGCGGCGUCGCCUGGCGAGGUAACGAUCGACGAUCGCGGCACCGUCCGCGACCCAGACGAGAACGACGACGACGACGACGACGACGAGGACGAUGACGAUGACGGGAACGACGACGAUAACAACACCGACGACGAUCAGCAGAAUAACAACAUCGGAAACAACGAGGAUGCCUGCGGAUACGCCGUGAACAACAACGACGACGUGCACGACGAUGACGACGAUGACGACGAUAGCAACAACCUGAACAACCGCCAUCACCACCAACAACGUGGCGGUGCUCAUCGUACCGACGAGGUCGUCGUCUCACCGAAGCGUAGUAGUAGUAGUAACCUCCUCACGCCCACUGUACCUGGUAAUGCGUGUAACGCUGAACCGCUGAUGAUCAAUAACAACGGUCAGGAGACGAGCCCAGGCCAGCUGGACGAGGACGUCGAGGUGAACAACGAGGUAAUGCCCGGAUUCGACGACACGAUCGUGUUCCUUCAAGGUGGCCGUACCAGGGACGACCGUUCGGAGAUUCUGGAGAACGGUGACGAUCGGGAACGGAGCAACGCGUCGACCUCGUACGAUAAUAUCGAUCAUACGAGAUUCGGGGGCGGUGCCACGCCGCCUGUACUACAGAACGGCGUGGCUGGACGACCAUCCGGUGGCGGUACAUACGGGGACGACACACCGUCCGUACCGUCCACCUCGAGACGACCGGACGGCGGUCAUUUCUCUGGGAGCAACGCGAGUGCCGCCAGUAAUUUGAACUCGUCGACUGCUGCGCCGUCCGCCACAGCACACCAGAGUCUCUACCGCGGGGUAACCGAUCAGUUUGACGGAAGCCCUACGAACAAAGCGACACGUAGCCGGCUGCAGACGCAUCGCGGCGAACGAUGCGGACUAAACGGGUUGCGGAAUAUUGGAAACACAUGUUUCAUGAACAGUGUGAUUCAAUGCCUGAGCAACACGAGACCGUUACUCGAGUAUCUGCUAAACGAGCAGUACCUGGCGGACAUCAACGUCUCCACGUCCAGUAUGAAGGGCGCACUGAUCAAGGCGUUCAGCCAGGUGAUACACGAAUUGUGGGAGGCGGGCGGUGAUCACGUGGUGAACACCACCGCUUUAAAGUCUCAGAUACAAAGAUUCGCGCCGCGAUUCAUGGGCUACAGUCAACAGGACGCGCAAGAGUUUCUCCGAUACUUGCUCGAGGGACUGCACGAGGAUGUGAACAGGGUGACGGUGAAGCCACAGCCGAUACACACCGAUAUCCCUGAUGUGUAUACAGACAGCCAGAAAGCUGUGGAGAGUUGGAAACGUUACCUCCGCAGCGAGGACAGUAUGGUGGUGGAUGUGUUCGUUGGUCAAUUACGCUCGUCGUUGCACUGCACUGACUGCGACCAUGUCUCGGUAACUCUGGACCCUUUCUGGGACUUGAGUCUGCCGAUACCGGCCAGAAGCGGCACGGUCAAGCUCAGCCAAUGCUUGGAACAUUUCACCCGCGAAGAGGUUCUCGACGGUGACGAGAAACCGACCUGCUCCAAGUGUCAGAUGAGGCGAAAGUGUACCAAAAGCUUCAGCAUACAGAAGUUUCCGAAGAUCCUAGUUAUUCACUUAAAACGUUUCUCACCCAUGGAACGAUUCCGCGGCAAGCUAAACGUCACGGUGGACUUUCCAUUGACAGGAUUAGAUCUCAGUGCCUUUGCCGCCCCAAGAGUUCCGGGCUGUACAUACAAUUUGUACGGUGUCGCCAACCAUUCUGGCACCACGUACUCCGGUCAUUAUACCGCGUACUGCAAGCAUCCGUACUCGGGCGAAUGGCACGAGUACAACGACAGUCGAGUGUCCGUGGUCCCGGCGCGAUCGGUGGUCACCAGCGAAGCCUACGUACUGUUUUACGAACAGCAGCCUCAUAGCUCUCACUUGUAACCUCACGCCAUGCCUAGAAUUUAAAACGACCAUCUUGCCUCUCGAUACCUCAGUCCAGCAUAGUGUAAUAAUGAAAAUUAUACUACUUUAUCGUGUGGUAUUGAAAAGCGACUAAACACUGAACGACGAACAGCCCCGGGGUUGUCGUCUUCAAGUCGAACAACACGGGGUAGAGUGUGUGUGUGUGUGUGUGUGUUUUGUGGUGUGUAUGGUGAGACAUUUGGCGAUAAUCAUGUAAUCAUCCUCGAGCUGUUCCUUUGUUUUUCUUCGGAUCUACACUCCCAUGGUCGUACUUCUCGCUUUCUCUCUCUUCCUUCCUCUCUUCUCUCCUUUUUGGCUUUCGUUUAGAGACACACAACAGACGCUUUCGGGUACGUUCAGGAGAGAUAUAUAGGGACGAUACAGAUAGACCUUCGAUGGAUAGAACGCAUCGCAUUCAACGAAAUUGCUGUGUCACGUGUCUCUUCUUUCCCCGAAUAGAACAUAGUAUCGCUGAUAUUAAUGGAGAUUGCGUUGGAAACUCGCUGAGAGGACAUUGCUCGCGAAAAAUUGAUUUCAAUAAUUCAAUGAAAAUCUCC